CACUAUGCACAGUCCUAAACUCCGAUAGGCCUUUACACCCCCUAUCCGCCCGGGCAGUACGAGCAUUAGCUUAAAACCCAAAGGACCUGGCGGUGCUUUACAUCCAUCUAGAGGAGCCUGUUCUAGAACCGAUAUUCCACGUUGAACCUCACCUUCUCUUGUAAUUUUUCAGCCUGUAUACCGCCGCCAUAAACUUACCCUGUGAAGGGCCCGUAGUGAGUAAAAUUGGUAAAUCACCCCAAUAUGUCAGGUCGAGGUGCAGUUAAUGAGAAGGGAAGAAAUGGGCUACAUUCCCUGGAUCAGGGAAUCACGGACUAUAUCCUGAAACGGAUAUAACACAAGGAGGAUUUAGUAGUAAGAGGAAAUCAAAAAAUUCCACUGAAAUCUGGCUCUAAAGCGCGCACACACCGCCCGUCACCCUCCCCGAUAUCUGAGUCUAAACUCACUUCAUAAACCCCUAAAUCUAUAAUUAGGGGAGGAAAGUCGUAA
rnacentral:rRNA from 1 species